rnacentral:tRNA from 4 species
GGGGGUGUAGCUCAGUUGGUUAGAGCGCUGGCCUGUCACGCCAGAGGUCGCGAGUUCAAGUCUCGUCAUCCUCGCCA